GGCGGGAUCGCUUAGUCCGGCAAUAGCGCCCGACUCAAGAUCGGGUGUCGUCCCAACGACACGCGGGUUCAAAUCCCGCUCCCGCCG
rnacentral:tRNA from 1 species